rnacentral:rRNA from 1 species
AUUGAACGCUGGCGGCAGGCUUAACACAUGCAAGUCGAGCGGAGCGGCGGACGGGUGCGUAAUGCCUUGGAAUCUGCCUGGUAGUGGGGGAUCACGUCGGGAAACGGGCGCUAAUACCGCAUACUAGCAGAUGAUCCUAGGUCGGAUUAGCUAGUUGGUGGGGUAAAGACCUACAAAGGCGACGAUCCGUAACUGGUGUGAGAGGAUGAUCAGUCACACUGGAACUGAGACGCGGUACAGACUCCUACGGGAAGCAGCAGUGGAGAAUAUUAGAGAAGGGACGAGAGCCUGAUCCAGCCAAGCCACGUAGGUGAAGAUGGUCUUCGGAUUGUAAAGCAAUUUAAGUUUGGAAGCGUUACCAAAAGAAUAAGCACCGGCUAACUUCGUGCCAGCAGCCGCGGUAAUUC